ACUUUGAAUUCUAUGGGGGACACUCAUAGUAUACAACUAAGGAAACCCUGUCUAGGCCUCAGGGAUACUCACCCCAGGCUGGCUUCAGCAUUAAGAGAGAGCUGCUCCUAAGACUGCUUGCCCUUCUGUGUACUGGCACCACAGCAAGUUUCCAAAGGCUAUGCACAUGUGUUCAUACAGAUGUGUCUAUGUAUCCUUUUGCUUUUUUAAGUUUGACUUUUAGGCAAAUAUUUGUUUUUUUUUAAAUUCAAGUCAGAUAAAAAGUACAAAUACAUUGGCUUCCCGUAAUAUCUCAUGAUUACUCUUCUAUGAUGAGGAGAGACAGAGAUAAAGCAAAGAAAUGAUAAUGAAAUACAAGAGUGUGUGUGUAUGGGUAUGUGUAUGUGUGUGUGUGUGUACGUGUGUAAGGAGCAUGUGUGUGUAUGUGUUUUGUGUUGGUGUAUAAAUUACAUGUAUAUAUGUAUAUAUGUAUGUACAUCUAUCUAGAUGUAUAUAUAGAUUGCUAUAUAUCUAUACAUAUUUAUACACAUAAACACAUAACUUGAAACUUUAAAAUUUUCAGUUUAGGAAAUUAAUUAUCACAUUUUAUAUUAGUUUCCUAGAUAGUUUAUUGUAGUUCUGGUUUCCAGAAUUCUCUUCUACUAUGAAUGUAUAUAUUUAUUAAUGAUACAGAGAAUAUAAUACAAAUACCUAUAAAAAACAAAGAAAUAAACAAAAAUGUAUUUAGAAAAAUGCCAUACCAUUGGUUGGAAUUUCAACCUAUGCGUUUCAAAAUUGUCCACUUCAGAAACAAA
rnacentral:lncRNA from 1 species